CGGACGGCGCGGCGGUGCGCCGCGCCGCCGACCUCCUCCAAAAAUUUCAUUAAUUCUUCUUUAUUUUAUAUAUGGCAACUGCUCAUGAAUCGACCAUUUUGCCGGCCCUUCAAGAAAGAAAGAGAGUAGGGAACGGGGCGAUGAGCCCGGCGGUCGAGGCUGCCAAGGAAUACGCGGCCGGCUUCGCCGCUGGUGUCGCCACCGUCAUCACCGGUCAUCCCUUCGACACCGUCAAGAUUUGCCAUGCUUUAACAUGAAGAAACGGGUGAUUAUAUUGUUUAUGGGGCAGGUCAAGUUGCAAGCUCACAAUACAAAAACACAAGUGAAGGAGUACAAGAAUGCUUUACACUGUACUAGUCGGAUCUUGAUCACUGAAGGAGUAAGAGGAUUAUAUAAAGGUGCGUCAUCCUCGUUCAUUGGGAUGGCAUGUGAGAGUUCCCUUCUCUUUGGCAUUUAUUCCCAGACAAAGCAAAAAUUUCAGGGGGAAAUUCAGAACAACAGACCACAGCUCCAGGUAAUUAUUCCUUCAGCAGCAUUUGCUGGAGCAUUGAUCAGCUUUAUACUAUGUCCAACCGAGCUAGUAAAGUGUAGGAUGCAAGUUCAAGGGAAGGAUGCAGCAAUGUUUGUUAGAUACAAUGGUCCACUAGAAUGUGCUCUUAAAACUAUCCAGCAGGAAGGGGUCAAAGGCAUUUUUCGUGGUGGAUUAUCAACCUUUUUAAGAGAAUCAAUUGGCAAUGCAGUCUUCUUUAGCUCUUACGAGCUAAGUCGUCACCACUUGCAUAAGCAAUUGAGUUUUUCACCAUCUGCCUCAAGCCACCAUUCAAAGGUUUUAGUCGACACAGGGAUUGGCAUUGUUACUGGCGGUCUUGCUGGAACUGCUUUCUGGUUAGCUGUUCUUCCACUGGAUGUUGCGAAAACUGUGAUUCAGACUUCUCCUGAUCCAAAUUAUAGUCGAAAUCCUCUCCAAACACUUUACGCGAUUUACAAGAGAGUGGGCUUGAGUGGAUGCUAUGCUGGUCUUGGGCCAACAUUAGCAAGGGCAUUUCCAGCUAAUGCGGUCGCCAUCGUGACCUGGGAGCUUACAGCUAAGUUUUUAGGGAUUAGGCGAGACUGAUCCGAUGGUCUGCUUCCUCGCUGGUUUUGGACUGCAUGAGUUUUGCCUCAUCAACGUCUAGUACAUUUGAUCGCCUAAUAAUUUUUUUGAUUCUCCUUAUGCCACGUCAAGAAUUUUGUAGGCUCCAUGAUUUUUUUAGUUCUUACCUGGCCUUGUCGCUUUAUCUACUGACAACAAUGUAGCAGCUUCGAUACAUACAGCCACCUCAGAUCUGAUGCCACUCCAGUCCGCACAUAUCUCAAAGUAAUACAAAACGACCCAGAGCGAUUCAGUAGCAACGCAACUCGGCUCAAAAGCGAUGUCACUCGGCUUUGAAGCGGUGCACAGUUGUUCAGAAUCAAGUGAUGCUUACUAGCGAGGAUACAAUCAAGCAAGGCACGAGGUCACAAGGAUGGCUCCGGAAGAGAUAAAUUGUUCGCACAAGGGUAGUUGACUCCCUACGAAAGGUAUAAAAAUCAUCUUCAGGUAGAUGCUUGGGGAUAGGAUUCACAAUCCAUAAAAAUUGACUUCAAGUUUUAGAGGGGUUAAGUCGAAACUCCCCUCUCCGGUGUUGACUUGUUGUGCAGGGACUCGGGACUAGAAGCCUCUCGUGGAUUCGCCGGAUAACACCCUAGGAGAUGACGACCACGACUCUUUGUUCCUUCUCCGUGAAAUCUCUCUAUGAAUAAUUACGCAGACAAUCUUACCGUUUUCCGAAUCACGACAUAAAGAAUCACAACACAACCUUAUUAGCUGUGUGCAGUAAAGUACUGGUUUCUUGAAAUCUCAAUGGAUUAGUUCUUGUUGUCAUUAAUACGCAGUACUGUACUGGUUUCUUGGAAUCUCAAUGGAUUAGUUCUUCUUGUCA